rnacentral:rRNA from 1 species
AACAGGAUUAGAUACCCUGGUAGUCCACGCCGUAAACGAUGUCGACUUGGAGGUUGUGCCCUUGAGGCGUGGCUUCCGGAGCUAACGCGUUAAGUCGACCGCCUGGGGAGUACGGCCGCAAGGUUAAAACUCAAAUGAAUUGACGGGGGCCCGCACAAGCGGUGGAGCAUGUGGUUUAAUUCGAUGCAACGCGAAGAACCUUACCUACUCUUGACAUCCAGAGAACUUAGCAGAGAUGCUUUGGUGCCUUCGGGAACUCUGAGACAGGUGCUGCAUGGCUGUCGUCAGCUCGUGUUGUGAAAUGUUGGGUUAAGUCCCGCAACGAGCGCAACCCUUAUCCUUUGUUGCCAGCAGUUCGGCCGGGAACUCAAAGGAGACUGCCAGUGAUAAACUGGAGGAAGGUGGGGAUGACGUCAAGUCAUCAUGGCCCCUACGAGUAGGGCUACACACGUGCUACAAUGGCAUAUACAAAGAGAAGCGACCUCGCGAGAGCAAGCGGACCUCAUAAAGUAUGUCGUAGUCCGGAUUGGAGUCUGCAACUCGACUCCAUGAAGUCGGAAUCGCUAGUAAUCGUGGAUCAGAAUGCCACGGUGAAUACGUUCCCGGGCCUUGUACACACCGCCCGUCACACCAUGGGAGUGGGUUGCAAAAGAAGUAGGUAGCUUAACCUUCGGGAGGGCGCUUACCACUUUGUGAUUCAUGACUGGGGUGAAGUCGUAACAAGGUAACC